CAGCCGUAAACUAUGCUCGCUAGGUGUCAGGCAUGGCGCGACCGUGUCUGGUGCCGCAGGGAAACCGUGAAACGUGCCGCCUGGGAAGUACGGUCGCAAGGCUGAAACUUAAAGGAAUUGGCGGGGGGAGCACCACAACGGGUGGAGCCUGCGGUUUAAUUGGACUCAACGCCGGGAAGCUCACCGGAUAGGACAGCAGAAUGAUUGCCGGGCUGAAGACCCUGCAUGACUAGCUGAGAGGAGGUGCAUGGCGUAGACGUCU
rnacentral:rRNA from 1 species